GUACUAGAGUAGCACUCGCAUAUCAAUAAGCGGAGGAAAAGAAACUAACAAGGAUUCCCCUAGUAACGGCGAGUGAAGCGGGAAGAGCUCAAAUUUGAAAUCUUAAAGGAUUUCCCUUUACGAAUUGUAGUUUAAAGAAGUGUUUUCUGUUGAGGUUUUGGUAAAAGUUCUUUGGAAUAGGACAUCAUAGAGGGUGAGAAUCCCGUAUUUGACCUUUACUUUCAACUUUGUGAUACACUUUCAAAGAGUCGGAUUGUUUGGGAAUGCAGUCCAAAAUGGGUGGUAAUUUCAUCUAAAGCUAAAUAUUGGCGAGAGACCGAUAGCGAACAAGUACCGUGAGGGAAAGAUGAAAAGAACUUUGAAAAGAGAGUUAAACAGUACGUGAAAUUGUCAAAAGGGAAGCGUUUGACACCAGUGUUGUUUUUCUGAAAAUCAAUUAAAGAACUGUUUAUGCUAAGCUGUUUAGACUUUAUCAGCUAUCUGUUUAGUUUUGAGCUUUUCUUUAAUGCACUUUUCAGUUAACAAGUCAACAUCAAUUUCUUUUGCUGUAAAAAAGCUUGAGGAAGGUGGCUUGAGAUUCGUCUUAAGUGUUUAUAGCCUCUUGCCUAUGCAGUCGGAGAGAUUGAGGUCUGCAGCGUAGAUCCUUCGGGGCUAAAUGCAUUUGUGCUAAGUUAUAGCAUUUUAUAGACAACUUGUUGACUAUGAUUUGUCUUGUAGCUUACUCGCUUAUGUUAUUUUACCUACGCUUAGGAUGUUGAACUCUAUCACACACAG
rnacentral:rRNA from 1 species